UACGUAGGGGGCAAGCGUUGUCCGGAAUUAUUGGGCGUAAAGAGCGCGUAGGCGGUCCGAUAAGUCGGAUGUGAAAGUCAGGGGCUCAACCCUUGGAAGCCGGCCGAUACUGUCGGACUAGAGUCCGGAAGAGGCGAGUGGAAUUCCCGGUGUAGCGGUGAAAUGCGCAGAUAUCGGGAGGAACACCAAUGGCGAAGGCAGCUCGCUGGGACGGUACUGACGCUGAGGCGCGAAAGCGUGGGGAGCAAACAGG
rnacentral:rRNA from 1 species